rnacentral:lncRNA from 1 species
CAAAUUCUUCAUCCGCCUCAAACACCACCAUUACCGAAGGAGACAACAUCACCCAGCCAAACUGCCCACGCCAAUGCGGAAAUCUGACAGUUCCAUAUCCAUUCGGCAUCGGCAUCGGAGGCGGCUGUGCCAUCGGCACGUGGUUUGAAGUCAACUGCAGCACUGCCUACGAUCCUCCCCGGGCGUUCAUUGCACGGGGUAAUAUCCAAAUUUACAAUAUUUCUGAUAAUCAAAUGCGUGUUGCAAAUGUAGUGGCGAAGAAUUGCUAUAAUGAAUCCAGUGGCGCCGUGGAUAAAUACACUGCGUGGACAGAUAUUACACCGACACCGUUCAGUUUCUCGGAAUCCAACAAAUUUACCCUGAUUGGGUGCGAUGACUACGCUUUCAUGAUGGGAGGCCGCGGCAGCGAGAAUUUCACUAGUGGGUGUAUUUCUCAGUGUUACAGCGCCGAAACUGUACUGGACGGACGUUGUUCAGGCAUUGGUUGCUGCCAAUCACCGAUACCAAAGAGUUUGAAGUACUACAAUAGCAGAGUGAACAGUUUUAAAAAUCACACAGGCAUCGCAUCAUUCAAUCCCUGCGGCUAUGCAUUUCUCGGUGAGCAGGAGAGAUUCACCUUCCGUGGUGUGGAAGAUUUUUUGGACACCAAUUUCAUGGAGAGAAUCCGGGAAACUGUCCCCAUUGUUCUAGAUUGGGCAGUAGGUAAUAUGACUUGUGACAAAGCUCGAUUUUCCUCGGACUAUGCUUGUAAAGAGAAUAGUUCCUGUGUUGAUACAAACAAUGAUCUUGGAGGUUAUCGUUGCAGCUGUAACAAAGGCUUUCGAGGAAAUCCUUAUCUCAGUCCCGGCUGCAAAGGUUUGUUUUCAAUUACCAUAAACGCAUGUUGAAUUACGUCACUAAAAGUUAAGUUCUCUCGAAUAAAAAAUUUAUAUCAACUGUUGAGGAAAUGACUUUUGUCUUGUGAUUGACAUUUCUUUUGUUACUUUUCCCAUUAUUUGGUAGACAUUGAUGAGUGCGCAGAAAACAGCAACACCUGUGAAAAGAUAUGCAUUAAUACACCUGGAGGUUUUAACUGUUCUUGUCCAAACGGCUACUAUGGGGAUGGCAAAAAAGAUGGACGUGGUUGCAUCGCUCAGAACUCCAAAUUUCCUGUAAUCAAGUAUUCCUUAGGUAAUUCUUAUGAUUUCGCGAAAUUGUUCAGC